GGGCUUGCAAUGCUCAAUGCAUCCGAAUUAUUUUGCUUCAGGUUUAAACCAUAGCAUUCUCUCCGUCAUAUACAUCAUUCUAUUGGAGAAGUCCCAGUCUACUUCCUUCGAGCAAGCAGUGUAUAGGUUGUUGACUUUAGUUCAUAGUAAGACAUGUUUAUUAAUGAAGAUUUACAUAUUGUUUCACUGACAUGUAUUAAUAAAGAUUUACAUAUUGUUUCACCCAUCUGAUAGUCUUCCAUUUGAUUUCUACAGAUGCUUAAUAUAGUGUUUUACAAACUGUUUAUUGGGGCCGUGAGCCAAGGCGAGCCCCAAAAUAUUUAUCUAUUUCCUUCAAUGUAUAUGUGUGUGCUACUCCGUUU